rnacentral:rRNA from 1 species
UACAGAGGUCCCAAGCGUUGUUCGGAUUCAUUGGGCGUAAAGGGUGUGUAGGCGGUCUUCUAAGUUUGGUGUGAAAGUCUCCCGGCUCAACUGGGAGGGUGCGCCGAAAACUGGGAGGCUAGAGUGCGGGAUGGGAGAGUGGAAUUCCUGGUGGUAGCGGUGAAAUGCGUAGAUAUCAGGAGGAACACCGGUGGUGUAGACGGCUUUCUGGACCGUAACUGACGCUGAGACACGAAAGCGUGGGUAGCAAACAGG